rnacentral:rRNA from 1 species
CCUACGGGUGGCUGCAGUGGGGAAUAUUGGACAAUGGGCGAAAGCCUGAUCCAGCCAUGCCGCGUGUGUGAAGAAGGCCUUCGGGUUGUAAAGCACUUUCAGUGGGGAAGAAAGCCUUGGGGCUAAUACCCUCGAGGAGGGACAUCACCCACAGAAGAAGCACCGGCUAACUCCGUGCCAGCAGCCGCGGUAAUACGGAGGGUGCGAGCGUUAAUCGGAAUUACUGGGCGUAAAGCGCGCGUAGGCGGUCUGAUAAGCCGGUUGUGAAAGCCCCGGGCUCAACCUGGGAACGGCAUCCGGAACUGUCAGGCUAGAGUGCAGGAGAGGAAGGUAGAAUUCCCGGUGUAGCGGUGAAAUGCGUAGAGAUCGGGAGGAAUAUCAGUGGCGAAGGCGGCCUUCUGGACUGACACUGACGCUGAGGUGCGAAAGCGUGGGUAGCAAACAGGAUUAGAUACCCGGGUAGUC